GGAUGGAUGGAUGGAUGGAUAGAUGGAGGGAUGGAUAGAGGGAGGAAUGGAGGGAGGGACGGAAGGAGCCUCCAGAAAGACAUGGAUGGAGAGAGGGAUGGCAGAUGGGUAGACGGAUGGCAGAUGGGUACGUGGCUGGAGGGAUGGAAGGACAGGCGGUUGGCAGGUGGGCACCUGGAGGGGUUGGGGCACUUCUGAACUCUGCUCCCAGGGAGAAGUGCAGUGACGUCUGGAGCAACCAAGGUGUGGCCAUGGGGCUGUUCCCAGAGGGAGAUGGGCCCAAGGAUGAGGAUGCGAGGGGUCCAGCCCCACACCCCUCCUCAGCUCCUGGUCACAUUUCCCUGUGGGGCGGUAUUUCUCACUCCCAGCAGCUCUGGUAGGGGACGGGCAGGGAAACCACACCUUCACACCUGGGAACCGAGCUCAUGUCUGGGUCUCAUCGGGAAAAAGAGCAAAUCUGCCCGGUUUGAGCCCUUCGCCCACGAUCAGCGCACACCUCCCCACUCCCACCCCUCCCCACGCUCUGCUCCCUGCAGGAGAAGCAGUACUUCUCCUUUCCCGGAGAGCUGCUCAUGAGGAUGCUGAAGAUGCUGAUCCUGCCGCUGAUCACCUCCAGGUGAGAUAUCAUCGUCUGCGUCUCAAGGACCAUGAGACAGGACACGCAGCUGCCUGAGUGCAGGUGCCAGGCCCUGAGCUCAUGGGGUGGGAGCAGAGCUGGGGGUCACUUGGGGUUCUUUCACUCUUACACCCGUGGUGCAUGGGGAGCUCCGAUCAGGAUUCCCAACCCCGGCUCCGCGCGGUUUGGAGCGGGUGCUGAGCAUGGUGUUUCCUGGCACAGCCUGAUGUCCGGGCUGGCCACCAUGGAGCCCAGGGCCUGCGGGAAGAUGGGGGUGAUCACCAUCACCUAUUACCUUUGGACCACUUUCAUGGCGGUGACUGUUGGGAUCAUCCUGGUGGUCAGCAUCCACCCCGGCGCAGCCGCGCAGAAGGAGGACUACUCAGCAGGGAAGGUGGUGCUCAGCUCUGCCGACGCGCUGCUGGACUUGAUCAGGAACAUGUUCCCUUCCAACUUGGUGGAAGCCUCCUUCCAGCAGUAUCGAACUGUUAUUGUCCCAGUGGUGAAGUCUCCAGGGUUCCCAGCGAUUCCAGGGAAAUCCCUCAGUUUUAUUUACUUUGCACCGGAUGAGGAAAACCCUGAAAUCCACCGACCCGUGUUUCUUGAGCUAACACCGUCUCCCGAAAUGACGUACAGGACCCUGCCAGGGACCAGCAACGAGAUGAACGUCCUUGGGAUCGUCAUCUUCUCCGCCACCAUAGGGCUCCUCCUGGGAAAGAUGGGUGAGCGAGGAGCGCCGCUGGUCAACGUGUGCCAGUGUCUGAACGAAGCCGUGAUGAAAAUCGUCUCCAUGGCCGUCUGGUACUUCCCCUUCGGCAUCGUGUUUCUCAUUGCUGGAAAGAUCCUGGAGAUGGAAGACCCAUCAGUUACAGGGCAGAAGCUGGGGCUGUAUGCCAUCACCGUGGUGUCGGGGCUGGCCAUCCAUGGACUUGUGCUCUUACCUCUGCUCUUUAUACUCAUCACCAGGAAAAACCCCUAUGCUUUCAUUAAGGGGAUACUGCAAGCUUUGCUGAUCGCCUUAGCUACGUCCUCCAGCUCAGCGACCUUGCCCAUCACCCUCAAGUGUCUUCUGGAAAACAACGGCAUAGACCGGCGCGUGGCACGCUUCGUCCUCCCCGUCGGUGCCACCAUCAACAUGGACGGCACGGCGCUGUACGAGGCAGUCGCUGCCAUCUUCAUCGCCCAGGUCAACGAGUACGACUUGGAUUUGGGGCAGAUCGUGACGAUAAGCAUAACAGCAACUGCGGCGAGCAUUGGGGCGGCCGGGAUCCCCCAGUCGGGACUGGUCACGAUGGUCAUCGUGCUGACCUCGGUGGGGCUGCCGACCACCGACAUCACGCUCAUCAUCGCGGUGGACUGGGCCCUGGACCGAUUUCGGACCAUGACCAACGUCCUUGGGGAUGCGCUGGCUGCCGGCAUCAUACAACACAUCUGCGAGAAAGACUUUGCUCCAAAGCCCCCAAAGCAGCAAGACCCAGUGAGCGACACAGAGAAGUUUCCUUCUGCAGAGCCCCCACUUCUGCAUCCCAAAGACAACGUGAUCGAACUGCUUGAGGACGCUCUGUUUGAGACAGGAGUGCACUACAACAUCUGCCAGGUGUAGGUCGCAGCACUCCCACCCCAGGACGGGACCUUGGUGCUGAACAUUCCCAAUGCCACGUAUGGCUGCUCUGCAAGACAAAGGCCUUACCUGGGGCAGCAAACCCCUCUCUAUCCUUUCUACCCCCUGCUUGGAGCUGAGGAUAUGACCAGACUGGCUGCCCUGCCUGCAGCAGCUGUGGGGAUACAGCCCUGUCCCAUUCCAUGAGGCUGCUGGGGGGGAUGGGGGAACAGGAACGAGGCGAUGGCAGAGAGCAGCAGAGGUGGAACUGAAGCUGUCACCUUACGGCAGCAGCCUCUAUCUGCUGCCCAGGCUGCAUGCCAUAAGGUGUUAAUAGAUAUUUUAAAACCUUUUUAUAUACACCAAUACAUACUGAUAUACAUUACAUAUUAAUAUAUCUAUAUACACGCGUAUCUUUUAGGUUCUCACCUGAAAACCUAAGUGUAUCUUUUGCCCAGAGCCCAAAGCCACAGCUGAGCAGAACGGGAUGCUGCACCAGUUUAUCUGCAUUACCCCACUGCAGCUGCGCUCAUUUCCCAGCUAAGGGCCUGCUCCUAUGUUCAAAUUCCCAUUCCAUUGAAAGCCUUAAAACACAGCUCCCAAGGGCAGCAUUCUCCACAAAAGCCUUUUGUACACGUUAUGUGUGUUGCUGGAUGCAUUUACCUCUUCCAAUGCCACCACAUCCCCCUCCCACCCCGGCUGUCAUUACUGCCACAGCACGAGGCUCACGGAAGCAGCUUAAAUUCACACCAACAUCGCUGAAUUUCUCUAAAAGGCGACGCAACCCACAGGGAAACGAAUCAAGCUGUUCCUAUUACUCAGAUGCAGGCAGACGAGAGCAGCAAACGAGCUGAUGAGGACUGAGAGUAAUGCAUCCAACCCAAAAUGCCAGCACGGUGUUCCACAUUCAGAGUAACACGAGUGCAUCAGAAGCGGAGGGACAGGAGGUUUCCAGAAGCCACUGAGAAUGGGCCCAAAGUCACUGAGCAGCACCAGGAGCAGCGCUGUCCCCCUCUGCCCACCAGGACUGGGAGGGGACACAUGGGAAUGGGGUGAAUUGAAGGAUCCUGCUCAGCAGAUUCAGCUUCAGUGUGUACCAUAUCUUAAUAAAGUUGGGAGAGCAACUGGGCAAAGGAACCGGGUUGUUAUCUGAGCAUUAUUCUCGCUGAGAAAAUCACCAAAAGCUGCUUCUAUGCAAUAAAAGCCCCGUGGAAGUUACUUACAGCUUCUGUGACUAUUAACCCGAAGUAGCAGAAGCCCUUGGCUUUCCGGUAUCUUCAAAAUUUGGGCAGAAAACCCAAACAUUUGGCCAAACAAGCCUUGGUGGGGGAAUGAAAUGGCACCAGCAGGUUUGGUGAAGGGGAGGAGGUGACCCUAGGGAGGACCCAUCCAGGAUCCUAUGAUUCUAUGACCUGCACCAGGCACUCGGCUCACGCAGCUCUUGUUCAUCACUGGUGAAAAUGCACGGCUGAUGGUGGUGGCUAUGUUGGAAAGCAGCGUUUUGAGCUGAGGCCGUCUCCCUUUGUCCCUUCCCCUCUUUUCAUUUACUUCCUCAUUUCGUUUCCCUACACAGCUUCUCAUUUUCUCUAAUGCGACCACAGACUGAGAGCUGUGAACACGGACCACGGUCCUCGCUGCAUACAGCAGGACGUGCCCAGACUGCGCCAUGGGCAGCCAAAGCUCCAAGGGAGCAUCUUUUCUGCUCCUUUCAGCAUACACGAUAAUUAAGGGUUGAGCUAACUUCACUGAGAACAUCUUGUGAUGGAUGUCUGUACAAACGUCCCAACAAGUGCCUGCAAUCUCCGCGCACAAAAGGAGCGAUGCCUCCCGGCAGCACAAGCGACCCAUGUGCCUUCGCUUUCUGCAAGCCGUGUCUCACUUAAACCACUCAAAUCAAGUCCCCAUGGGCAAGGAGGAGACCAGUGCUUCCACGAUCUACGGCUCUCAGACAUUUUCGGCUCCAAUCAAUCGUCUUUUGAAGUUUCUUACUGAUGGGCUUGGGCUGGGCACUGAGAUUUGUAAUUGUUUAAGUCAGCAGAAUGAAUCCCACUCUAAAUCGCAAAUCUGAGCACAGAGGUUUAUUUUCAGACCACAGAGCCUUCUGACUCUAGUUUAUGGGACCAGAUUUUGGCUUUGAGAGGCAGUCCUGACAUCAGGGUAGACAGGAAAGAAAGUACAGGGUUGGAGCAGUGAACCUGGCCCAACCUGGCUGCUCCACUUACCUGCAUCCAGCUCAUCUCAGAACCUCCCGUCCUUCCACGCGCAGAACCACAACCACGUGGUUAUUUGGCCAUCCUCCUCCUCCACGCCAUCUCCAGAAGUCUUCAGUCAUCUGCAAAGUAUUACCCCAAACCACGUUCUUGUGCUAAAAUGUUAACAGCAACGUGAUGCUCCCAUGUUAAGAGAACACUGCCUUGUCUUUGGGUGUCUUAAGUCCAUUUUGCCUUCUUUCCAUUUCUCUUCCUAACGCCAUUUCCCAGCUGCAGCUAUGGCCUGUGCCAGACCAAACACUGCUGGCACUUCCUUCCUGGAGACGUCCAGAGAUCCCUCCAUUUGGAGCCAGGCACAAUUCCUCCCUCUCUGUUCCCAAUGGCAACCCAACACCAAUCCUCACCCCUGCUGCCCAUACGGUGGCAAUUCCUUCUCUUCCCAUGAGGACACCCACAUCCCAUCAUCUGCUCUUCAGAUGCAGUGGUUCCUACACGUGAAGGCUUCAGUAGGAAAUAAAACACUUACACAGACACUUUGUGCGCAGCGAUUAAUUUGCUCACAACCAGUUACGAAUGCAGGUCUCUCUGUAUUCCUUCAGACCUCUGCUUUUCCAGCCAGGUACAAGCAAUCCAUUCAUGGAGCUAGUUUGUCCACAUGGACAAACAUUUAUGGACUGAACAAUGUCAGGCCUUAAGACCCCUUUGAACUCAAACACAGAAUGCUUUGUAGCUGAGAAUUUGCUCCAUCAAACGGCGUUACUGUGCUCUCUGUAGCAGUUGUAGUUUCCAUGGGAAACUCCUAUUUAUAUA